rnacentral:sRNA from 1 species
GAUAAUUCAUUUAAUUAGCAACAGCUUAUUUGAGAAACAAACCAUUCAACUUAUUAAGGAGCGUAAAAAUAUGAUGACCAAGUAUUCAUUCCCUAACCAACAACUUAAUAUCAUUAUUUUAUUAUUACGCCCAGGACUGGAGCUUUAGUAAGAACUUUUUACUAAAAUUGCUUAAGUCCUAUUUCUAGUUGAAUGGGACUUUCCA